GAACGAGACCCGGGGGCACUCCGUGAGUACAGUGGCUCACGGUGUGAGUAACACGUGACUAACCUACCCUGGAGUUCGGAAUAACCUCGUGGACAACGGGUGCUAAUGACCGGAUAACACCUACGGGUCAAAGGAGCAAUUCGCUCUGGGAGGGGGUCGCGGCUGAUAAGCUAGUUGGUAGGGUAAUGGCCUACCAAGGCGACGAUCAGUAUCCGGCCUGAGAGGGCGCACGGACACUCUGGAACUGAAAUACGGUCCAGACUCCUACUGGAGGCAUCAGUGGGGAAUUUUGCACAAUGGGGGAAACCCUGAUGCAGCAUCGCCGUGUGGAUGAUGAAGUCCUUUGGGAUGUAAACUCCUUUCGACCGGGACGAUUAUGACUGUACCUGAAGAAGAAGCACCGGCUAACUCUGUGCCAUCAGCCGCGGUAAU
rnacentral:rRNA from 1 species